rnacentral:misc_RNA from 1 species
AACGCACAUUGCGCCCGCCAGUAUUCUGGCGGGCAUGCCUGUUCGAGCGUCAUUUCAACCCUCAAGCCCCGGCUUGGUGUUGGGGAUCGGCACAAGGACGCCCCCGGGCGACCCGCCGUCCCCUAAAUUCAGUGGCGGUCCCGCCGUAGACACCUCUGCGUAGUAGUUUUCUCCUCGCAAGGGCAGCUCGACGACGACCACGCCGUAAAACCCCCAACUUCUGAAAGGUUGACCUCGAAUCAGGUAGGAAUACCCGCUGAACUUAA